GAGGAGUUUCCGUGACAGACAGGGGAAAGCGGCGGAGCAGCUCAGCCCCUCUGACCACCACCAUCCUUCCUGCACAAUUUCUUCCUCCUCGCACCGCUACUUUACCGCAGCCCGGAAAGAAAGCUAACCAAAUCCCACACCUUCGCUUUCCCCUUUCCCCUCUCCUUUUCCCCUCUCCCCCUCGGUUCCCAAUUGUCUCGCCCUCUCUCUUCGCCUCUGCUUCACCAUCUACCAGUCCGUGUGCUUGACCAGAGGGAGGGAGGGAGGGCUCUUGAGGUUGUCUAGAUCCCUUGUUUCUCCAACCGGGGCUGCUUAGCUUUCAAGCUGGCCGCCGACUCCAAGAUUGCGGAUCGGCGGGCGUUUCUUCCUUUCCAAUACUGAUAUAGGAGCGGGCAAUCUCAUGUGCGAGGAUGUGAGAGUUUCUUUUCUUGUUUCGGUGGAGUUGCUACAGUCCGAGUGUUGCGGAUGAUCUGGAAUCUUGACUGAGGCCCCCGAUUUGGGAUUUCCUUUCAGCCGGUGCUGCAAUCUGCAUUCUUCAAGGUUGUUGGCGGCAGAUGGGUUGCAGGCACUCCAAAGUGGAGGACGAGGAGGCGGUGAGGAGAUGCAGGGACAGGAGGAACCUCAUGAAGCAGCUCGUGCGCCGCCGUGUCGACCUUGCAGCCGCACACAUCACCUACCUGCAUGCACUCCGCAACACAGGAGCCACUCUCCGCCAAUUCGCCGAGGUGGAGACUGCAUCGUCACACCAGUCCCUUCCAGUCGUUGCCUCACCACCUCCUCCCCCUCCGCCGCCGCCGCCACCACCACCGCCUCCGGCAUACUCUGUGACUUCUUCCAUGCCACCAUACUCGGUGACAUCCUCAAUGCCGCCAUCACCACUCCCCCCACCACUCAUACCGUUUAGUCCGAUAAGGAUAAGAAAGAGGGAGAAGAGAGAUGGUGAUCUCGACGGGGAUGAUUCCACGGAUGAAGACGACGACACUGACAGCUGCUCGACGCCUCUGCCCCCGCCGCCGCCGCCCGGUAUGGAGUGGGAGUACACGGACCCAAUCACUAUGCGUCCCUUGGAUUUUCUUCCAUCUUCGUUGGCUGAUCGGGACGAUAAAGAAAUGGCCUCACAGGUCAGCAUGGAUGACGAUUGGGUGGAAACGAACAUAGAAUUUGAUGGACAGGAUCAAAGUGUCUCUGGCAAUGCUGAUGGCAUACUUAGGCGUGUGGAAUUGCAUCCAGCAAAGAGUAGGGUUAUGGGUGAUGAAAACUCAUCGAUGAUGAGCAGCUGGGUAACAAAGGACUCGAACUCUUCGGUGAUGGCCUGGGCGACUGACAAGUCACUGGUAGAAAUAGCCAAGGAGAUUGAUGAGUACUUCUUGAAAGCAGCCGCAAGUGGGACUGAUGUUGUUAUACUUUUGGAUUCUGCUACCGGCCGGCUAGAUCCCUCAGAGGUGCAAGUAAAGAAAGGAAAAAAUUCGAAGUCUGCCAAGGUUUUCUCUACACUUUCCUGGAGCUGGUCAUUCAAGUCUGUACAUGCUAACAGAGAAUCCUCAACUGAUGCUUGUGGAUACGGUUAUCAUGGCAAAACACUAGAUAAGCUUUAUGACGAGGAGCAAAAACUCUAUCAGUUAGUUAAGGAUGAAGAAUUUGCAAGGCUUGAAUACAGAAAGUACAGUUCAUUGCUAAAGAAGCUAGAAUCAGGGGAGCAUGAUAGGUUGCAGGCAGAGAAAGUUCGGGAAAAUAUCGAAGAACUGCAAACUCGGAUAAUGUCCUUAGAGGAAGCUGUAAGCUUGACAUGUUUGACCAUAUCAAAGAUCAGGGAUGAGGAGUUAUAUCCUCAGGUUAUUGAAUUAGCUGCAGGACUUGUGCAUAUGUGGAGAAACAUGUACGAGUGCCAUGAGGUUCAGAACCAUAUUGCCCAGCAAGCCAGUCUCCUUGGCAACCAACCUGGCAGUGAGCCGACAACUGACUCCCAUUGCUAUGCAACAUCUCAGUUGGAAGGCGAAGUCUCUGCAUGGCACAAUUCCUUCUGCAAUCUGAUCACCUUGCAGCGUGAGUACGUAACCAUCCUUAACGAAUGGAUUGGACUCACUGAUUGCCUGCCUGAUAAUGAAGGCUUCAUGAGAAGUUCAUCUGGAAUCCGUAGCCUCUGUGGGGAACUUGAGCACGCUCUUAAGAAGUUACCUGAGAAGGUAGCAGCAGAAGCAAUAAAAGCUUUUCUGUCAGUCAUACACUCUAUCGUGUUACAGCAGGCUGAGGAGCGUCAGCUGAAGAAGAAAUCAGACAACAUCGAGAGCAAGUUCCACGCCCAGCUGGAGAAACACAGCGAAAACGCAAUGCAGAGCUCAAGCCAGGGUUCGCACGCCAGGAGCUACUCAGUAUCGAAGGACGACCCGAAGCUGGACGUGUUCAGAAAGAAGGUCGAGGAGGAGAAGGCCAGGUACAUCAACUCCUUGAGGACCAGUCGAGCCAUGACGCUGAACCAUCUUCAGACGAGCCUUCCAAACGUGUUCCAUGCCCUGACGGGGUUCUCAGGAGUCUGCUUGCAGGCGUUUGAAGGCAUCAGCCGAUGCAGCGAGGCUGCUGCUGCUGCUGCUGCUAGCCACUCGGGAGCGGCUUCGCCCGCCGUCUCUUCCUGUGAUGAUCACCCGCUAUAUGAUGCUACAACAGAAAAGCUCAUGAAUACAAACAAGGUGGAGGUACAUGCACCGGCGAUGCUACAACUUAUAUGUCCAAUGCUCGUGAUGGAUUCUCAUAUUUUUAUUUAGUGGCAUGGAAAGCUUUCAAAUACAGACCGAUGGGUCCCACCUGUCAUGUAAUAAAUUUGGAUUAAAAAACUGUAAAUUGCUGGGCCAAGGAUCCAACCAGCAACGUGCUGCUACCGCGCAAACAUGGAUAGCCAUCCCACCCAGUGACUAUUGGUGUCUAAUAUGAACAAUUUUACAUUAUACUAUUUUCUUUUCUUUUUGUGGGGUAAAGGGAGCUUUUAUUGCAUGAUAGUAAUGCUACAAUCAAAAGGCUACAAAUCCUCGAUACAAGGUGGAGCUGAGUUCACCCACACAGCCGUGAUGAACUUGAUGCGACUAUAAUUGGCCAACUGAUCUGUAACUCUAUUUUGACUACCGUGUAUCUUCUGAGGUAAAUCUCUCUAUUACACAUUAAAUC
rnacentral:rRNA from 1 species